rnacentral:rRNA from 1 species
UAGAGUUUGAUCAUGGCUCAGAUUGAACGCUGGCGGCAGGCCUAACACAUGCAAGUCGAGCGGAAACGAGAAUAGCUUGCUAUUCGGCGUCGAGCGGCGGACGGGUGAGUAAUGCCUGGGAAAUUGCCCUGAUGUGGGGGAUAACCAUUGGAAACGUUGGCUAAUACCGCAUAAUAGCUUCGGCUUAAAGAGGGGGACCUUCGGGCCUCUCGCUUCAGGAUAUGCCCAGGUGGGAUUAGCUAGUUGGUGAGGUAAAGGCUCACCAAGGCGACGAUCCCUAGCUGGUCUGAGAGGAUGAUCAGCCACACUGGAACUGAGACACGGUCCAGACUCCUACGGGAGGCAGCAGUGGGGAAUAUUGCACAAUGGGCGCAAGCCUGAUGCAGCCAUGCCGCGUGUAUGAAGAAGGCCUUCGGGUUGUAAAGUACUUUCAGCAGUGAGGAAGGGUGUGUAGUUAAUAGCUGCAUACUUUGACGUUAGCUGCAGAAGAAGCACCGGCUAACUCCGUGCCAGCAGCCGCGGUAAUACGGAGGGUGCGAGCGUUAAUCGGAAUUACUGGGCGUAAAGCGCAUGCAGGUGGUUUGUUAAGUCAGAUGUGAAAGCCCGGGGCUCAACCUCGGAACCGCAUUUGAAACUGGCAGGCUAGAGUACUGUAGAGGGGGGUAGAAUUUCA